GGCAUGGAGGCAUGCCCAUGAAGAGAGCAGCGGCACCAACAGUUCUGGGGAGACCUGGGGGGUGAGGGUGGUGGGGGAAGGGGGAGGUGAGCAG
rnacentral:miRNA from 1 species